ACGGCUUCCGAUUGGUCGGUGGCUCGCUGUGCAUUCUGGGGAGUGUAGUCCAUGUGGCUCGCGUUCUCAGUUUUCGAAUGACUGCCGAUUAACUCGGUCCUCUCGGAAUGCAAGUUUCCUCUUCGGCUCAUCCUGAUGAACGGUCCCGGCCGGAAACGUCGACUGUACUCUUUUCUAUAGACGCUGCUGCACGGCCUGCUGAGUUCCUACAGUAUUUUGUGUGUGCUGAUUGGAUUUCCAGCAUCUGCAGGUUUUCCCUUUGUUUGUGGGAUCGUGUAGCGUGCUGGAUUGUCUGAGAUGCCCAGAAUGUGCAAACUGACUGAAAAAUGGAAGUAGAUCAAGCAGGUAGUUCCAAUGUACAGACAGGGGCUAAAGGCAUAGAUAAGGAUGAUAAGUUAAAUUUUUAUUACAGUGCAACAAGAUUCCAUCUGUAAAUUCAAUCUGGUGCAUUUAAUGAGGACUUUCAUUUUUAAGUUGUAGUGAGGAAAUAAUGCAUUUAUCAGUUACUAUGAUGUGAGUCUGUCCACAUUGUUUUCACCCUUUCCUUUCCUUCAUGUUUCUCUUCCCCAAGAACUGGGCAUGUAGAUGAUGACAAGAAAUAUCUCUUCACCAUGGUGAGAUUGCCCAGCAUGCAACCACUCAUACCCACCUCAGGUUCCUCAUAAAGCUCUUUAGGCAGUGCAAUAUGGCAGCAUGGCUUUGACUGCAGAUUAAACAUAGUGUGAAUCAUCAUUCACACUUUCAUUUCCCCUUAUGGCUCAAACAUAGUCAGUACAUCAAGCUGUCAGAAAAUGAAGGCUUGAUGAUUGGUUUCAAGAUUUGCAACCAGCGGUCACAAAACAGCAAGGCUUUAUCUAUCUGCUACAGAGCAGGGUUGACAUAUGUCCACAGGCAUGAAGAUAAAAGAAACUGCAGAUACUGGAAUCGGAAAACAAAACAACAACAUUCUGGAAGAGCUCAGCAGAGUCUAUAGAGGCAAAAGGCAAUUAUUGUUCUCCUAAUAUCCAAAGUGGUUGCCUCUGUAGAUACACAAGGACACAUCUGCCUUCUCAAUUCUUCUGUGUUUUGGCAUUUCAGGACAGAGCCCUGCAUUAGGAUCACUGUCCUUUUCGUGCUUGAUCUCCCAGCAGCUUGACUUCUACUGUAGGCCCUGUGUUCAUUUGCUCAUUUAUGCUUUAUUGCAAGGGAUAUGGCUACUAUGUACUCAUGUCAGAAAGCAAACGUUUGCACAGAAGCUUCUAAGUUAAGAACUUAAUCACCACUCCCUGCAGAUUGGUGCAUCAUGAAAUAAGCAUAGUAGUUACCAAACAUUUAAUGGGUUAGCUAAUGAAACCAAACAGAAACUAAUUUCAAAUUUAAGUUUAAUCGCCAUUCACCCAUACAUGAACACCCAUGAAUGCAGCCAAACAAAACAGCAUUACUCUGCAGCCAAAGUGCAAAACGCAGUACUAACAGUCACACACAGCAUAAGGCACGUAUAGCUUAUAUAAGAUAUCAUUAAAAUACAGUCACAUAAAAAAUAUAGUCUAAGACUUAAAAUCUAUCAUGAAUGUUGCAGGAGUCUGCAGUCAAACACAACACAGCUUGUCUUCUACUGAGUGAACACUAUGGGGCAGCACUGACUCCAGCUUGGACGAUGUAUCAUGCCACCUCUGGUGGAGCACACUGAUUCCAAUGCCUCUCUCCUGGGCAACUUUAAGUAGGCGAAUCCGCGGCUUGAGGCCUAGUCCUCAAGAUGACUGAGGUCAAACAGCUCCUCCACCAGCUGCCAAAAAAUCGGUGAAUCGGAUUUACAGCAUUCUGCAUUAACAAUGUCCAAUAGGGUCAACUAGUCGGAACAUGGUCAAUAAUUUCUUCAAUGUGUGGAUAGCAGAGUGAAGUGAGAUUAAGUGUAAUGGUAUGAUGGCAGGAGCAUGAAACUACAUUUCUGCAAUCUUGACACUGCCCACCCUUCUCAGCAGACAUGUAGUUUCACUGAUGUCAAACACAAUUCAGUUCAGGGACUUAAGCAGCUAAUUUUGCAUUUUGAGGUCUUAAAGGUUAUCAGUUGAAAUGCAUCAAGGAAUAUUGCUUGAUGGAAGGAAAAUGCAAAAUAAAGGAAGGAAAAUAAACAAAUUGAGAGACUUAGAACUGGCUAGAUUCAACCCGACAUCUAAAAUCAAGAAUAUUUCCUAAUACCAAUAAAAAAUGCCUUCUAAUUGCUAAGUAAAGAACCUUAUGCUGUAGGAUUUUGUGAAUAAAACAUGCAAGAGUCAUUUUAUGUGCUGAAGUAAAACCACAGCCCAUUGCAAACAAAAUAAAUGCAGUUGCCUUAUAUGGGCGCCUGUAUGUCAGACACUGUUUCUUAAAAGUGAGCACAUGUUUGUGACUUAUGUAGAGCAGCUUCUGUUAUGAACAAUAUGUGUCAUCUAUUACAUUACCCUACAAUGUAAUUUGCAGAUGCAGAACUUGACAGUUAUAAAGAGUUUUCAUCAAUAUGCUGAGCAGUGGUGAAAUAUUUGCAUAUUUCAUUUCAGAUCUUAGAUGUGGGUGCCUGUUCUAUACAAGCAAAACGGUUUUAAUCCUAAGUAACUUCUAAAAUGUAACUUUGCAGCUUUGGUUUUGUGAUUGUCAUUUUGCAAUGACCUUAUCACUACCUUGUGCAAUUUGUAAACAAAAAUCAUAAACUUUGCCAAAACUUUGCCUCGCAAAAAUAUUCAUAAGUAAGCGCAUUCUCCAUUUUGAACAGAAAUUAACAAAGGUGGCUAAAGCCAACAGAAGCAAAAAAAAACUAUUCCAGAUAACAGUCUGUCUAACGAGUUCAAGAAGGCGUCAUUGUUAUCGGCACACUUGGGAGCUGCUCUUUCUUUUAGUUAGAUCAUUUUACUGCCUGAAUACAGCAAUGAACAGGUUACUGAAUUACUGAAAAGUUGUUAAUGAAAACAUCCAUUGUAUAAUCUGUUUUAUAGAUAGUCAUAAUUGUUAAAAAGUUUCAAUACUUCAGUC